rnacentral:lncRNA from 1 species
GACCCAAGCAUCUCACCACAUCAUCCAUCACCAACUUAGAUAACGGGAGUAUUGCUCUCAGGAAUUAUUCAGAGUCCAAAACGCUAUAUCUCAUCGGGCUCAUUUCGUUUGCGGAAAACAUUUUUCUUUCUAGGAAUAGGAUUUCUAGAAAGCAGAUUACUGAAAAGAAGAUGCCUGGAAAAGUACUUUUGACAUGUUUGGUUGACAAUGGAAAACUAAUAGAUUUAUAUAGUGCUUAUGUUUGGUUGAUCGUCCACUUUUCUAAAAAAAAUUAUGUGUAAUUCCUAUUAUAUCUUUAAUAAAAAUUAGGUCUUUAAUGCAUUUUUAAUGUUGAAGUGCUUUUCUUGAAAAAAAAUAAAAAAUAGAAUGAUUUUCAACUCAGGAAAAAAUAACUUUUUCAUGUUUAUCAUGGGAAAGACUUUUUCAUGAAACAUGGGAAUCAUAUUUCCAUAGGAAUACAACUUUUCCAUUUCUCUCCUUUUAAAACUUCAACCAAAUAAGAGGCAUCUCAUUACUUUUUCGUUGACCACACUUUUUUCCCUUUUUUUUCCAUGAACCAAACGAA